rnacentral:rRNA from 1 species
UACGUAGGGGGGCAAGCGUUGUCCGGAUUUAUUGGGCGUAAAGAGCGUGUAGGCGGCCAGGUAGGUCAGCUGUGAAAAACUCGAGGCUCAACCUCGAGACGUCGGUUGAAACCAUCUGGCUAGAGUCCGGAAGAGGAGAGUGGAAUUCCUGGUGUAGCGGUGAAAUGCGCAGAUAUCAGGAAGAACACCCGUGGCGAAGGCGGCUCUCUGGGACGGUACUGACGCUGAGACGCGAAAGCGUGGGGAGCGAACAGG